GAAGUAUUUUUGGGCCAUUUUUGGGUUAUUUUAGGCCGUUUUGGAGCUAUUCUGGGUGGUAUUUUUUGGCCAUUUUUGGGUUAUUUUGGGAGGUAUUUUUGGGCCAUUUUGGGUUAUUUUUGGGUUAAUUUUUUUGGCUAUUCUGGCAGGUACUUUCAAGAUAUUUUGAGUUAAUUUUGGGUUAUUUUGGGUUAUUUUGGGGCUGUUCUGGCAGGUAUUUUCAGGAUAUUUUGGGUUAAUUUUGGGUUAUUUUGGGGCUGUUCUGGGGCUGUUCUGGCAGGUAUUUUCAGGGCAUUUUCAGGGUGUUUUGGGUUAUUUUGGGGCUGUUUUGGCACUCACACUUGGAGGAGCGCCGGCCCAGGUGCUCGUUGUCCACCGUGUCGCUCGACCACUCGACCUUCUUGUCCGGUUUCCUCUUCCUCAGCUUCAGCGUCAGGCUGCGGUUCUCCUGCCGGGUCAGGGGUCACCAGGGGUCACCAGGGGUCACCAGGGGUCACCAGGGGUCAGUCUGUGUCCCCAGGGGCCAUUCCCAGUAUCCAAACCCCUCCCAGUUCGCCCCAUCCCCCAUUCCCAGUGCUCCCAGUAACCCCAAACCCCCUCCCAGUCCAUUCCCAGUCCCCGCUCCCAUCCCCCCCCCCCCGGGGCCCGGUACCGGCUCCGCGGUUCCGCUCUCGGUGACGGUGGCGGUGCCGCAGCCGCCGCUCUCCGCCGUCUCCGCCAUGGCCGCGGGGGGGUCCCGGGGGGUCCCCCCGGUACUGGGAGGGGGCGCCCCGCAACUGGGACGGGCCGGGGGCGGAACUGGGAAGGGCCGGGCCGCUCUCGCCGCCGCCC